AAAGCUUGGUGAGGGCAUUUUCUAAGCAUAUCCUUAAAUCUCUCCCAACCUUCAUAGAUUGACUCUUUUUUCAAAUUGAAAAAAAAAAUGUGAUAUCAAAUCUC